rnacentral:tRNA from 1 species
AGGCAGUUAGUUUAACAAAAAUAUUUGGUUUCGGCCCAAAAGCUCCUGGUUAGAAUCCACACUUGCCUA